GGAGAGAUGCCCGAGAGGCCGAAGGGGGCUGACUCGAAAUCAGCUGUACCGCUUGCGGUACCGGGGGUUCAAAUCCCUCUCUCUCCG
rnacentral:tRNA from 1 species